GCAGCUAACGCAUUAAGCACUCCGCCUGGGGAGUACGACCGCAAGGUUGAAACUCAAAGGAAUUGACGGGGGCCCGCACAAGCGGUGGAGCAUGUGGUUUAAUUCGAAGCAACGCGAAGAACCUUACCAGGUCUUGACAUCCUUUGACCACUCUAGAGAUAGAGCUUCCCCUUCGGGGGCAAAGUGACAGGUGGUGCAUGGUUGUCGUCAGCUCGUGUCGUGAGAUGUUGGGUUAAGUCCCGCAACGAGCGCAACCCUUAUUGUUAGUUGCCAUCAUUCAGUUGGGCACUCUAGCAAGACUGCCGGUGACAAACCGGAGGAAGGUGGGGAUGACGUCAAAUCAUCAUGCCCCUUAUGACCUGGGCUACACACGUGCUACAAUGGGAAGUACAACGAGUCGCGAAGUCGCGAGGCUAAGCUAAUCUCUUAAAGCUUCUCUCAGUUCGGAUUGUAGGCUGCAACUCGCCUACAUGAAGCCGGAAUCGCUAGUAAUCGCGGAUCAGCACGCCGCGGUGAAUACGUUCCCGGGCCUUGUACACACCGCCCGUCACACCACGAGAGUUUGUAACACCCGAAGUCGGUGAGGUAACCUUUUUGGAGCCAGCCGCCUAAGGUGGGAUAGAUGAUUGGGGUGAAGUCGUAACAAGGUAACCAAGGGCGAAUUCGCGGCC
rnacentral:rRNA from 1 species